rnacentral:tRNA from 1 species
GCCGGGGUCGCCUAGCCUGGAAGGGCGCAAGCCUGGAAAUUAGGAAACUAUAUAGCUUGUGGCCCGUGAGGGCCUCGAGGGUUCAAAUCCCUCUCCCGGCG